UCUCAAAGAUUUAAGCCAUGCCUGUCUAAGUAUAAGCAAUUAUACCGCGAAACUGCGAAUGGCUCAUUAUAUAAGUUAUCGUUUAUUUGAUAGUACCUUACUACUUGGAUAACCGUGGUAAUUCUAGAGCUAAUACAUGCUAAAAAUCCCGACUUCGGAAGGGAUGUAUUUAUUAGAUUAAAAACCAAUGCCCUUCGGGGCUCACUGGUGAUUCAUGAUAACUCCUCGAAUCGCAUGGCCUUGUGCCGGCGAUGGUUCAUUCAAAUUUCUUCCCUAUCAACUUUCGAUGUUUGGGUAUUGGCCAAACAUGGUUGCAACGGGUAACGGAGGGUUAGGGCUCGACCCCGGAGAAGGAGCCUGAGAAACGGCUACUACAUCCAAGGAAGGCAGCAGGCGCGCAAAUUACCCAAUCCCGACACGGGGAGGUAGUGACAAUAAAUACUGAUACAGGGCUCUUUUGGGUCUUGUAAUUGGAAUGAGUACAAUUUAAAUCCCUUAACGAGGAACAAUUGGAGGGCAAGUCUGGUG
rnacentral:rRNA from 1 species